rnacentral:rRNA from 1 species
UGGAAUAACACGAGGAAACUUGUGCUAAUACCGGAUAAGUCUUUACGGAGAAAGCUUUAUGCACCAUUGGAUGAGCCUGCACUUGAUUAGUUUGUUGGUGGGGUAAUGGCCUACCAAGACUGUGAUCAAUAGCUGAUUUGAGAGGAUGAUCAGCCACAUUGGGACUGAGACACGGCCCAAACUCCUACGGGAGGCAGCAGUGGGGAAUCUUGCACAAUGGAGGAAACUCUGAUGCAGCGAUGCCGCGUGAGUGAAGAAGGCCUUUGGGUUGUAAAGCUCUUUCGUCGGGGAAGAAAAUGACUGUACCCGAAUAAGAAGGUCCGGCUAACUUCGUGCCAGCAGCCGCGGUAAUACGAAGGGACCUAGCGUAGUUCGGAAUUACUGGGCUUAAAGAGUUCGUAGGUUGUUGAAAAAGUUGGUGGUGAAAUCCCAGAGCUUAACUCUGGAACUGCCAUCAAAACUUUUCAGCUAGAGUAUGAUAGAGGAAAGCAGAAUUUCUAGUGUAGAGGUGAAAUUCGUAGAUAUUAGAAAGAAUACCAAUUGCGAAGGCAGCUUUCUGGAUCAUUACUGACACUGAGGAACGAAAGCAUGGGUAGCGAAGAGGAUUAGAUACCCUCGUAGUCCAUGCCGUAAACGAUGUGUGUUAGACGUUGGAAAUUUAUUUUCAGUGUCGCAGCGAAAGCGAAUAAACACACCCGCCCUGGGGGAGU